GGUAUCAGAUGAUGUGGUUAGCUGAUAUGUUAACUACCUAUCCAGGUAUCAGAUGAUGUGGUUAACUACCUAUCCAGGUAUCAGAUGAUGUGGUUAGCUGAUAUGUUAACUACCUAUCCAGGUAUCAGAUGAUGUGGUUAGCUGAUAUGUUAACUACCUAUCCAGGUAUCAGAUGAGGUGGUUAGCUGAUAUGUUAACUACCUAUCCAGGUAUCAGAUGAUGUGGUUAGCUGAUACCUUAACUACCUAUCCAGGUAUCAGAUGAUGUGGUUAGCUGAUAUGUUAACUACCUAUCCAGGUAUCAGAUGAUGUGGUUAACUACCUAUCCAGGUAUCAGAUGAUGUGGUUAGCUGAUAUGUUAACUACCUAUCCAGGUAUCAGAUGAUGUGGUUAGCUGAUACCUUAACUACCUAUCCAGGUAUCAGAUGAUGUGGUUAGCUGAUAUGUUAACUACCUAUCCAGGUAUCAGAUGAUGUGGUUAGCUGAUACCUUAACUACCUAUCCAGGUAUUUGUAGAUCUGGCGUGCGUCAGCAGCGUAGUCCAGCAGGAAUCCAACCUGUGUGCUGCUCUCUCUCUCUCUCUCUCUCUCCAAACCCUUCCCCUCUCUCUCUCUCUCUCUCUCUCUCCAAACCCUUCCCCUCUCUCUCUCUCUCUCUCUCUCUAAACCCUUCCCCUCUCUCUCUCUCUCUCUCUCUCUCCAAACCCUUCCCCCUCUCUCUCUCUCUCUCUCUCUCUCUAAACCCUUCCCCUCUCUCUCUCUCUCUCUCUCUCCAGCUCCAAACCAAACCCAGUCUAGGUAUUAGUAAACAAGGCUUUAUUUUGACUGUACAGACAGUUAGUGCAGAAUACACAAAGCUCUUAUCAGAGUGAAUAUAUUACAGAAGAACAGCGACCACUGUUUCAGGGUCUGGAAAAUAAAAUAACAUAAACUCUUUAAUCCUAUUGCCCAAUACACAGUCACACACCUAGUAAAAAAAAAUCACAGUCUCUCUACAAUGGCAUGCAGAGCCAUUGUUAAGUUCAGGGGAGAGGUUUACAGACUGAACCCUUGGGUAAAUGCCAGCUAGGUAUUAAGAGUCUCCAAAGUCGUUGUUCAGGAUGAACCAGACUCCUGUGGCUGUCUAUCUAAUACCAGGACCAUUGGAGAAUCUUUAUUGUUUUGCAUCUCAGCCAGACGUGGUUGUAGAAGAGCUGCAGUGUGUCUAUGUGUUGGCUCAGUAGUGUGCCUGAAGGUAACAGAUUAUUCCCAGGUGAAGAGAGGACAGGUAAAAGUGGAAACCUACAAAUUGGCAGCUCUUGUAACUCCAUGUUAUGAUAAAUAACAACAAAAAAGGUAGAAAUCAAAGUUUAAAUAACUUUUUUUUUUUAACCAUUGAGCGUUUUUCACUCUGAAUGGUUCAUUUACCAUCUACGACAUUAGAUUUGGUACAUCAUGUCCUGCUGCAUCGAUCAGGACUCGUCCUCAAACAGACAGACUCAUCAUGAUUCUAUAUAUAGUGACGUUUUGAAACAAACAAGGUGAGAAAGAAGAGUACAGACUGAGUUGACAAAACAUUAAGAACACCUGUUCUCUUUCCAUGACAGACUGACCAGGUGAAUCCAGGUGAAGGAUAUGAUCCCUUAUUGAUGACAUCUGUUAAAUCCACUUCAAAUCAGUGUAGAUGAAGGGGAGGAGACGAGUUAAAGGAGGAUUUUUAAGCUUUUAGACAGUUGAGACAUGGAUUGUGUGUGUGUGGUUUUAAGUGCCUUUUGAACGGGGUAUGGUAGUAGGUGCCAGGCGCACCGGUUUGUGUCAAGAACUGCAACGCUGCUGGGUUUUUCAAUCUCCACAGUUUCCCGUGUGAAUCAAGAAUGUUCCACCACCCAAAGGACAUCCGGCCAACUUGACACAACUGUGGGGAAGCAUUGGAGUCAACAUGGACCAGCAUCCCUGUGGAACGCUUUCUACACCUGGUAGAGUCCAUGUCCUGAUGAAUUGAGGCUGUUCUGAGGGGGAAAAUGGGAUUCAACUCAAUAUUAGGAAGGUGUUUUUAAUGUUUGUCCACUCAGUGUAAAGUCUCUUCUCAACAUUACACUGUACACUCCAGGUCUACUGUUAACCGCUUAGUAUUACAGAUCUACCUGUUAAAAUAACCGCAUUGAAGUAAUCACUCAUUCAUGAAUGACUUCCACAUUAGCAGGGUUCAGUCUAGUCCAGAAGAUCAGUUGUUAGAUUGUUUGGCUCGUCUUCCUCUUUCAGAGCAGCUAGUAAAAAGUCAAGUAGUAAUUUAUUAUGGAACAUUCUCCCACCGAGAAGCUGUUCAACACAACAUCGACUCCGUAUUGACAACCUUAAAGUGACAGUGUAGUCUGACUGCGUCUGAACCUCAACUUCACAGUUGUUGCUAAUGUAGAGCAUCGUUUGGCUUCACCACAGCCGUCUGUUAGAGAGAGUCAGAGAGUUCAGCUGGAAGCCCAGGUGGCUCCAGGUAAUUGGGAGUCAAGAGAGUUCAGCUGGAAGCCCAGGUGGCUCCAGGUAAUUGGGAGUCAGAGAGUUCGGUUGGAAGCCCAGGUGGCUCCAGGUAAUUAGGAGUCAGAGAGUUCAGUUGGAAGCCCAGGUGGCUCCAGGUAAUUGGGAGUCAGAGAGUUCAGUUGGAAGCCCAGGUGGCUCCAGGUAAUUGGGAGUCAGAGAGUUCAGCUGGAAGCCCAGGUGGCUCCAGGUAAUUGGGAGUCAGAGAGUUCAGGUGGAAGCCCAGGUGGCUCCAGGUAAUUGGGAGUCAGAGAGUUCAGUUGGAAGCCCAGGUGGCUCCAGGUUAUUGGGAGUCAGAGUUCAGUUGGAAGCCCAGGUGGCUCCAGGUUAUUGGGAGUCAGAGAGUUCGGUUGGAAGCCCAGGUGGCUCCAGGUAAUUAGGAGUCAGAGAGUUCAGCUGGAAGCCCAGGUGGCUCCAGGUUAUUAGGAGUCAGAGAGUUCAGUUGGAAGCCCAGGUGGCUCUGGGUAAUUAGGAGUCAGAGAGUUCAGUUGGAAGCCCAGGUGGCUCCAGGUAAUUGGGAGUCAGAGAGUUCAGCUGGAAGCCCAGGUGGCUCCAGGUUAUUGGGAGUAAACGUUCAGCUGGAAGCCCAGGUUGUUCCAGGUUAUAGGGAGUAAACGUUCAGUUGGAAGCCCAGGUGGCUCCAGGUUAUUAGGAGUCAGAGAGUUCAGCUGGAAGCCCAGGUGGCUCCAGGUUAUUAGGAGUCAGAGAGUUCGGUUGGAAGCCCAGGUGGCUCCAGGUUAUUGGGACUCAGAGAGUUCGGUUGGAAGCCCAGGUGGCUCCAGGUUAUUGGGAGUCAGAGAGUUCAGCUGGAAGCCCAGGUGGCUCCAAGUAAUUAGGAGUCAGAGAGUUCAGUUGGAAGCCCAGGUGGCUCCAGGUAAUUGGGAGUCAGAGAGUUCAGCUGGAAGCCCAGGUGGCUCCAGGUUAUUGGGAGUAAACGUUCAGCUGGAAGCCCAGGUAGUUCCAGGUUAUAGGGAGUAAACGUUCAGUUGGAAGCCCAGGUGGCUCCAGGUUAUUAGGAGUCAGAGAGUUCAGCUGGAAGCCCAGGUGGCUCCAGGUUAUUAGGAGUCAGAGAGUUCGGUUGGAAGCCCAGGUGGCUCCAGGUUACAUGGUAGUUAUUGCCAAUAGAGGAAGAAAAGGUGAUCCAUCCAUAUUUCUAGGAUGAGAAGGCACUUUGGUGACAAGACUUAGGCUACGUCUGAAAUUACACCCUAUCCCCUAAAAAUCAGGGAAUUAGGUGCCAUUUUGGACACACCCUGGACAGUAAUAUGUAUUGAACUGGUCUAUCAUCGUCGUGGCAGAUGAGUGUGUGUGUUUUCCAGUAGCCUUUUUAUUAACUUCAUGGUCUUUGGGUCGUGCAUCCUGUCUAACAGAUCUUCUCUGGAAUGUUAAAAACUGAGGUUUUAUCCAAGGAGGUUGUGUUUCCCUGGCC
rnacentral:lncRNA from 1 species